GGAGAGGUGCGAGAGCGGCCGAAUCGGCACGCUUGGAAAGCGUGUGUGGGGGCAACCUCACCGUGGGUUCGAAUCCCACCCUCUCCG
rnacentral:tRNA from 1 species